rnacentral:rRNA from 1 species
GACGAACGCUGGCGGCGUGCCUAAUACAUGCAAGUAGAACGCACAGUUUAUACCGUAGCUUGCUACACCAUAGACUGUGAGUUGCGAACGGGUGAGUAACGCGUAGGUAACCUGCCUGGUAGCGGGGGAUAACUAUUGGAAACGAUAGCUAAUACCGCAUAAUAUUGAUUAUUGCAUGAUAAUUAAUUGAAAGGUGCAAUUGCACCACUACCAGAUGGACCUGCGUUGUAUUAGCUAGUAGGUGAGGUAACGGCUCACCUAGGCGACGAUACAUAACCGACCUGAGAGGGUGAUCGGCCACACUGGGACUGAGACACGGCCCAGACUACUACGGGAGGCAGCAGUAGGGAAUCUUCGGCAAUGGACGAAAGGCUGACCGAGCAACGCCGCGUGAGUGAAGAAGGUUUUCGGAUCGUAAAGCUCUGUUGUAAGAGAAGAACGGGUGUGAGAGUGGAAAGUUCACACUGUGACGGUAUCUUACCAGAAAGGGACGGCUAACUACGUG